AUCCAUGUGAGGUAGAUGUUGCUGAUGUCUUGAAGGUGAUAGGUAAUAACAUUUUAGAACGGGACGCUAUUUUAGUGCUGAAUAACAUGUCAAAUUCCCAAACUGCGUUGCUUGCUCUUCGCUACUUCCAGGAUAUGCUGAAAUCAAGUAAACAGACAAUUUUUUAUAACGUGACACUGAAGGUGUUUAGGAAGUGCAGAGAUAUGGAGGGUGCAGAGAAACUGUUCGAAGAAAUGAUUAACAGAGGAGUUAAGCCUGAUAAUGUGACAUUUUCUACAAUUAUUAGUUGUGCUAGGUUGUGUUCUUUACCAAGUAAGGCUGUUGAGUGGUUUGAGAAGAUGCCAAGUUUUGACUGUAAUCCUGAUGAUGUUACUUACUCUACGAUGAUUGAUGCCUAUGGACGUGCUGGUAAUGUUGACAUGGCUUUCAGUUUGUAUGACCGUGCAAGAACGGAAAACUGGCGAAUUGAUCCUGCGACAUUCUCGACAAUGAUCAAAAUUCAUGGAGUGGCUGGGAACUAUGAUGGGUGCUUGAAUGUUUAUGAAGAAAUGAAGGCUAUAGGCAUCAAGCCAAACUUGGUUAUAUAUAACUGCUUGUUGGAUGCUAUGGGUAGGGCUAAAAGACCUUGGCAGAUCAAAACCAUUUACAAAGAGAUGAUUAAAAAUGGAUUUUCACCAAGUUGGGCAACUUAUGCUUCUCUUUUACGUGCCUAUGGAAGAGCCAGGUAUGGUGAGGAUGCUCUCAUUGUUUACAAGGAGAUGAAGGAAAAGGGACUGCAGUUAAACGUAAUUCUCUACAAUACGCUUUUAGCUAUGUGUGCUGAUGUUGGCUAUGUUAAUGAGGCUGUUGAAAUUUUUCAAGAUAUGAAGAGUUCUGGCACUUGCUCACCUGACAGUUGGACAUUUUCUUCCAUGAUCACCAUAUAUUCCUGCGGUGGAAAAGUAUCAGAGGCUGAAGAAAUGUUGAACGAUAUGGUGGAAGCUGGUUUUGACCCUAAUAUCUUUGUCUUAACAUCACUAAUCCAGUGCUAUGGGAAAGCUAAACGUGUUGAUGAUGUAGUGAGGACAUUCAAUCAAUUGAUAGAGUUAGGAUUAACUCCAGACGAUCGAUUCUGUGGCUGCCUUCUCAAUGUGAUUACCCAGACACCAAAAGGGGAACUUGGUAAGCUGAUUGAUUGUGUUGUGAGAGCUAAUCCAAAACUCGGGUUUGUGGUUGAACUCUUGCUAGGGGAGCAAGACAAGGAAGGAAAUUUCAGAACUGAAGCCUCAGAACUCUUUAGUGUUGUCAGUGCUGAUGUGAGAAAAGCUUACUGCAAUUGCUUAAUUGAUCUCUGUGUAAAUUUAGAUCUUUUGGAUAAGGCAUGUGAACUACUGGAUUUGGGGCUUACACUUCAGAUAUAUAAAGAUUUGCAGUCCAGGUCUCCAACUCAGUGGUCUCUUUAUCUUAAGGGUCUUUCUCUUGGGGCUGCUCUCACUGCAUUACACGUUUGGAUAAAGGACUUAACAAAGGUACUUGAAUCUGGGGAGGAACUUCCACCAUUACUUGGAAUAAAUACUGGACAUGGAAAACACAAGUAUUCAGAUAAGGGUUUGGCAAGCGUCUUUGAAUCACAUUUAAAGGAAUUAAAUGCUCCAUUCCAUGAGGCUCCAGAAAAGGUCGGAUGGUUUUUGACAACUAAAGUGGCAGCAAAAUCAUGGUUGGAGUCUAGAAGUUCCCCUGAAUUGGUUGCAGCAUAGGUUGUACCUGAAAGGUCCAAUAAUAUCUGUUGUGAUAUCUUUCAUUUAAACCCUUUUCUCCCCUUUCUUUUAAACGGCCAUAUCUUUCUUGAAAGACAGCUUUAUGGUAAAGGAUGCAAUGAAGAGUUCUGCUAUCUUUGUUCUUUCAUCGUAUUAUAAUUCAUUGGAAUGUCAUAUCAAUCUUUAAUCACUGUUUUUUUGCUUACUGCUAAUUUCUUUGUGGUAUAUUUCGCACUUGGUUAACUCUCUCAACAAACACCCUUUCGAAUAUGUGCAAGAUUAGUUUUGUUUAUUAGUAGAUCUGACAAGCAUACUGGAGUUUCAUUAUUAUGCUGCUAAAGGGAGGUGAUAGAGAAGCUAAGGUGAACGAUCAUGUUCAAACAUGCUACGAUGAUAAAAUUUGUUUCUUGAGAGUAGAGAAAAACUAACGAGUGGAAUGGAGAGGAAAAUUAGAUUAUUUUUGUUACCAGAGUGUGACUUAGAUACUCUUUAGAAUUAGAAGAAUCCUGGUCUCUUGUAGAGUUGAAAACAUUGAUGAAUUAGGCUCUCAGAGUCCUACUUGAUGUUGGGUUUUGCCUUGGACAUGUCAAGAUGAAAGAAGAUGUAGAAAACUGGCUGGAUAAAAGGCAGAAGAGGGGGAGAAGACUAACUCGCAAGUGUCAGCAAGAGUUUUGUUGUUCUGGGGACCAAGCUGGAAGGUGCGUAAUACAUCUGUCCAUGGGACUAGGUUGUUAUUGCUGCUGAGAUCGACUCUCGAAAACCUGCUGUUGAGGUAACAAAUCCAGAGACUUUCUAAUUUCUUAGUUUUCUUUAAGUUUCCUUAUUUGGUC
rnacentral:lncRNA from 1 species